UACGGAGGGUGCAAGCGUUGUCCGGAAUCACUGGGCGUAAAGGGCGCGUAGGCGGCUCAUGAAGGCUGUGGUGAAAGUCCGGGGCUCAACCUCGGAUCGGCCGUGGCGACUCGUGGGCUGGAGCACUGUAGAGGCGGGUGGAAUUCCGGGUGUAGCGGUGGAAUGCGUAGAGAUCAGGAGGAACACCGGUGGCGAAGGCGGGUCUCUGGGCCGUUACUGACGCUGAGGAGCGAAAGCGUGGGGAGCGAACAGG
rnacentral:rRNA from 1 species